CGUGUAAGGGUAAUGGCUGGUCGUAGACACGAUGGUCUUCCCCUGUAGGGUAACGUCCACUUGCGAAAAUAAAGAAGGUGUGCCCGUGAAGUGUGUAUUCGUCGACGCUUUCUGGUAGACUGACGACGAUGUGGAGUUCGUUUCCUUUUCAUCUCAGAUUUAGCUUGUUCUACGGCUUAUUGAGCUGGAGAGACCAUGCUUACGUUAACCUCUCGUGCAGGUACGUAGUAUUGAACGUCGAACGAUUGCGACCAGUUGGCUACCUUGACGGUUCUGAUGGGGUGGAGAAGAGUUUCCUUUUCACCGUCGACGAUGCUUUCGUCACACACGUCACUGUGUUGCACCCAUAAGAAACGGCUGAAUACGUCUAUGACUACAAGGAGGAACCUGAUACCGUCAUUUUGUUUGGUGAUGUUCGAUACGUCUGCAAGAUCAGCUUGAAAUUCUUCGUAUGGACCGGAGACUUCCACUCGUGCUCUGUUGAAAGAACGCUUGACUGUUUUUUGUAAACUAUAAUCGUCCAGACUCUGUAUAUAUCUUCUGAUCUUAUACAGACCUGGUGAAGUGAUUCCACGAGAUUUCAGUACUUGGUGAACUUUCGUCGGACUCAGAAAUGCGCCUCCGUUAUUAAAAUUGUAAUAUACUCAGUCUACAAGACGCUUCUCUUCCUUGGUCAACAUAUUAAAUGAGACAAAACAUUUAUGUGCAAUCUUUUAUUACAUUAUUUACAUUAUUACAUGAUUUACAAUCAUUGUUUCAUAGUAAGUUAUUUUUUACACUGUUUUGUGGAACCAGUCUUCUACGCGAUUCAUGGAACGAACCAUUUUACGGAUGCAGUCUUUCCAUUUUUCUGUUUUGAGUUCGUUCAUUCUCCAUUCGGCAUUACACAACCGCGAUAUGAAGGCGUUUCUGAAGCUUCUUUCUGUGUUAAAUCGAACAGUUUCUCUGAUAAAGUCUCU
rnacentral:lncRNA from 1 species